rnacentral:rRNA from 1 species
UACGUAGGGGGCAAGCGUUGUCCGGAAUCAUUGGGCGUAAAGCGCGUGUAGGCGGCUCGGUAAGUCUGCUGUGAAAGUCCAGGGCUCAACCCUGGGAUGCCGGUGGAUACUGUCGAGCUCGAGUCCGGAAGAGGCGAGUGGAAUUCCUGGUGUAGCGGUGAAAUGCGCAGAUAUCAGGAGGAACACCAAUGGCGAAGGCAGCUCGCUGGGACGUGACUGACGCUGAGACGCGAAAGCGUGGGGAGUAAACAGG